UACAGAGGGUGCAAGCGUUGUUCGGAUUCAUUGGGCGUAAAGAGCGUGUAGGCGGCCAGGUAGGUCGGUUGUGAAAACUGGAGGCUCAACCUUCAGAGGUCGACCGAAACCAUCUGGCUAGAGUCCGGGAGAGGAGAGUGGAAUUCCUGGUGUAGCGGUGAAAUGCGCAGAUAUCAGGAGGAACACCGGUGGCGAAGGCGGUUCUCUGGGCAUUACCUGACGCUGAGGAGCGAAAGCGUGGGGAGCGAACAGG
rnacentral:rRNA from 1 species